UAUGUUUUCUCUUGCUUCUCUGCUCCAUUCCGAGGGAGGUAAGAAUUUGAUCUCGGAUGACAAGGGAGCCUGCACCAUUUUGCCCCACCAGCACCUGGCUGUGCCAAGUGAAAUCUUGGGUGACUAUUUCUCCCCUCAUCUGGCCCUGCAGGAUUAUCCAGGGUGGUGAGCUGGGCACCAUGAUAGAUGCCACAUUUUCCAUGAUGGCUUACAAUAGUGCCAACGCAGUCUUUACAGGAACCAUGAGCAUCACCUUCAAGAGGUCUGUUUCCUUGGGGUGCCUAGGUGGCUCAGUGAGCUCACUGCUCCAAGUUCCGCCGUUAAAUUUCCUGGGUGAAGAAUGGAUACUGGAAAGUAUUGGAAGCCUGUCACUAUGAAAAGCUUGGACUUUAUUCUUCAGAUAAUCAGGGACAUGGAAGGUAUGUGCCUGCUUUUUUCAACAGGA
rnacentral:lncRNA from 1 species